CCUACGGGAGGCAGCAGUGGGGAAUAUUGCACAAUGGGGGAAACCCUGAUGCAGCGACGCCGCGUGAGUGAAGAAGUAUUUCGGUAUGUAAAGCCCUAUCAGCAGGGAAGCAAAUGACGGUACCUGAUUAAGAAGCCCCGGGGAACUACGUGCCAGCAGCCGCGGUAAUACGGAGGGGGCAAGCGUUAUCCGGAUUUACGGGGUGUAAAGGGAGCGUAGACGGCAGCGCAAGUCUGAAGUGAAAUGGCGGGGGUUAAACCCGGAACUGCUUUGGAAACUGUGCAGCUAGAGUGCAGGAGAGGUAAGCGGAAUGCCUGGUGUAGCGGUGAAAUGCGUAGAUAUCAGGAAGAACACCAGUGGCGAAGGCGGCUUACUGGACUGUAACUGACGUUGAGGCUCGAAAGCGUGGGGAGCGAACAGGAUUAGAUACCCGUGUAGUC
rnacentral:rRNA from 1 species